AACAAACGCUGGCGGCGUGCAUAACACAUGCAAGUCUAACGGGAAUGUCGGCUUCGGCUGGCUAGUACCGUGGCGAACGGGUGAGUAACACGUGGGUAAUCUGACCUCGAGUUUGGGAUAACCUUGCGAAAGCGGGGCUAAUACCGAAUAAGACCACGCUCAGUUCGCUGGGUGCGGUAAAAGGUGGCCUCUUCUUGAAAGCUAUCACUUGAGGGUGAGCCCGCGGCCUAUUAGCUAGUUGGUGGGGUAAUGGCCUACCAAGGGGACGAUGGGUAGCCGGCCUGAGAGGGUGUACGGCCACACUGGCACUGAGACACGGGCCAGACUCCUGCGGGAGGCAGCAGUGGGGAAUUUUGCGCAAUGGGGGAAACCCUGACGCAGCAACGCCGCGUGAGUGAUGAAGGCCUUCGGGUCGUAAAGCUCUUUUAGUGGGGAAGAAUCCCACCCGGGCUAACACCUCGGGUGUCUGACGGUACCCACAGAAAAAGUUCCGGCUAACUACGUGCCAGCCGCCGCGGUAACAC
rnacentral:rRNA from 1 species